rnacentral:rRNA from 1 species
ACAGCUUUUAGGCAGUAAAAAUAAAAAAAGAGAUAAUUUUAUUAAAAUUAGAUAAUUAUACAUGUGUGAGGUUUAUAUUAGAGUUUUUUAGCAAUAAAUUUUUAUUUUAAAAAUAAACGUAAGUUAUGAAUUCCUAUUUUUAUCACUACCUAAAAUAAAAAUUUUUUAAUCUUUUUAGGAUAUAGGUUUACAAAAAAAAUAUUAAUUACUUAGUAAUUUUACUCGAAAAUAGAUGAUAUAGAAAUAAAUUAAUAAAUCUUUAGGUGCAAAUUAAAUUUUUAUUUUUUUUUAGAGAUUAAAUGUUAAACAAAUCUAUUUAUAACUAGUUAGUAUUGAAGGUAUAAAAUAUUUCAUUUUCAAUUUAUAAAUAUAAAGAAAAAAUUUGUAAGAAGUGAAGUAAUAAAAGGGUCAGCUUUUUAUUAAAGAAUAACAUUAAUAUAAUAAUUUAUUUUAUAUAAGAUAUAGAAUUUAAAGUGUUUAUAAUGUUUUCAAACAUCUUUUCUUUUAUUUUUAUGGGUAGAGUAAUUCUAAUUUAAAUACUUUUGUAAAUUAGGUAAAUAUUAGUAAUUUUUUUAUUUUCUUAAUUAUAAGAUAAUAUGUAUUUUAGAAUUUUAAUAUUAAUGUUAAUUUAAAAAAAGAAAUUAAUUUGCAUAUUUCUAGUUUACUAAAUACUUAUUUUGUGGAUUUUUAACAUAAAACCUUUUUGUUUUUUUAAAAGUUAUAAAUUAAUAGUUUAAUAUUAUUUAAAUGAUAAUAUGCGAAUUUUGAAUUUUAUGUAGAUAUCUUUUUUUUUUUUAAUGAAAAUAUUUUAUUAGUGCAAUAAACUAAUUCAUUGUAAAAAGACGAAAAGACCCUUGGUAGUUUAGGUUAAUAGGUAAUAAGAUAUUUACUUAAAAACUUUAACUGGGGUAGUUGAUUUUACAAUAUAACAAUCUUAUAAUUAUAUAUAUAAUAGAAAUAUUACUCUUUAGAAUGUAUAAAAAGAUCCUUUAUUUUAUUUAAUAAAUUAAAUUUGUGAGUUUAAUAAAGAUUUUACGAAAAACUAACCCUAGGGAUAACAGCGCAAUACUCAAGGAUAGUACUUAUUGAUUUGUGUUUUUACGACCUCGAUGUCGGCUUUAUUCAAUUAUUUGAAGCAUAAAUUAAAUUAAUUUGUUUGUUCACCAAUUAAUUAUUAACAUGAGCUGGGUUUAGAACGGAGUGAUUUAGUUCGGUUUUUAUCUUUUAUUUAGUAUUUUUAUAGUACGAAAGGAAUUAAAAAUAUUAAUUUUAUUAAUUUAAUUAUUAGAAUUA